CCGAACUUCGUUGCGAAGUUCGCAAGUUCGUUGCGAAGUUCGGAAGCUCAUAUUGGAAUUCGCAAGCCAAUUUGUAAACAAAGUCCCUGAUUGGUCCGUGAAGUAAAAGAAGCCAAUCAAAUGCGUAGUUUACGAACUGGUUUGUGAAUCUCAUUAUGAACUUUUGAACUUCAAUCUUGUGAACUUCGCAACGAAGUUCGGAAAAUUUG
rnacentral:lncRNA from 1 species